rnacentral:rRNA from 1 species
AUUGAACGCUGGCGGCAUGCCUUACACAUGCAAGUCGAACGGUAACGGGCCUUCGGGUGCCGACGAGUGGCGAACGGGUGAGUAAUGUAUCGGAACGUACCUUUCAGUGGGGGAUAACGUAGCGAAAGUUACGCUAAUACCGCAUAUUCUGUGCGCAGGAAAGCAGGGGACCUUCGGGCCUUGCGCUGAUUGAGCGGCCGAUAUCAGAUUAGCUAGUUGGUGAGGUAAAGGCUCACCAAGGCGACGAUCUGUAGCGGGUCUGAGAGGAUGAGCGGCCACACUGGAACUGGGACACGGUCCGGACUCCUACGGGAGGCAGCAGUGUGGAAGUUUGGACAAUGGGGGCAACCCUGAUUCAGCCAUGCCGCGUGAGUGAAGAAGGCCUUCGGGUUGUAAAGCUCUUUCGGCCGGGAAGAAAUCGUAUCAGCUAAUACCUGGUGCGGAUGACGGUACCGGCAUAAGAAGCACCGGCUAACUACGUGCCAGCCGCCGCCGUAAUAC